CCCCUCCCUCCUGCUCGAUCCCCUCGCACCGCCAGCGGGAGAAGAGGCCGCGAUGCGCCCGCGCAACCCCGCCGUCGCGCGCCCCUUGCCUCGCCGCCCCUCCGUCGCCCAACCUCCUACCAUUUCCGGCACCCCCAGCCUCGCCGUCUCGCCCGCUUGCCAUGACCGCCGCGGUGGAGCUCCCAGCCUCCGGCAGCCGUUGCUGCAGUCCGGCACCCCUGCUUCCUCACACGUCGACCCCUCUCUUUCGGGAGAAUCUCUCUCUAAUCUCCCCUUCUCCUUCUUCUUUCUCUCUCUGAUCUCUGUUUUCUCCAGGGAAGGAAGUCACCACAUGGAACACAACCAGAAACGCCCUGCCUUGGAAGCUCGCCGCCUCCGCCGCCUCCGGCAACCUCUCUGUCGGCCUCGUGCUCCUCCGCCUCGAUCUGUCCGCCCAGCCGCCAGAUCCGCCGCCAAGACCACCAUCCUGCCCGUCGUCCAUCACCUGGAGGUGCCCUAUCCCGGCCAGCGUGGUCUUCUCCCUCAGACUCGCUUCUGAUCUUGUCCUCAAAUCAAUCUGCUAGUUCUCCC
rnacentral:rRNA from 1 species